UUGCUUUGGCAGCACAUAUACAGAAAUUGCAAUGAUGCAGAGAAGAUUAGCAUGACUCUUGCCCAGGGGUGACAUACAAAUUUGUGAAUCACUUUGUAUUUUU